rnacentral:rRNA from 1 species
CCGGCAAACGGGUGCGGAACACGUACGCAACCUUCCUUUAAGUGUGGGAUAGCCCAGGGAAACUUGGAUUAAUACCACGUAAGAUAGUAGAGUGGCAUCACUUAGCUAUUAUAGCUCCGGCGCUUAAAGAUGGGCGUGCGGCUGAUUAGGUAGUUGGCAGGGUAACGGCCUACCAAGCCUUCGAUCAGUAACUGGUGUGAGAGCACGACCAGUCACACGGGCACUGAGACACGGGCCCGACUCCUACGGGAGGCAGCAGUAAGGAAUAUUGGUCAAUGGACGCAAGUCUGAACCAGCCAUGCCGCGUGAAGGAUGACGGCCCUCUGGGUUGUAAACUUCUUUUAUCUGGGAAGAAACCUGCGAUAUCUAUUGCAGUUGACGGUACCAGGUGAAUAAGCACCGGCUAACUCCGUGCCAGCAGCCGCGGUAAUACGGAGGGUGCAAGCGUUAUCCGGAUUCACUGGGUUUAAAGGGUGCGUAGGCGGGUAUGUAAGUCAGUGGUGAAAUCCCCGAGCUUAACUUGGGAACUGCCGUUGAUACUAUAUAUCUUGAAUAUCGUGUAGGUAAGCGGAAUAUGUCAUGUAGCGGUGAAAUGCAUAGAUAUGACAUGGAACACCAAUUGCGAAGGCAGCUUACUUUACGAUGAUUGACGCUGAGGCACGAAAGCGUGGGUAGCGAACAGGAUUAGAUACCCUGGUAGUCCACGCCCUAAACGAUG